AUUAAUUGAAAAGUCCCAAAUAGGACGAAAUGUGCAUCCUGGAU
rnacentral:hammerhead_ribozyme from 1 species